GAAACCCUGUUGAUGAAUCAGAUGGGCUUAUCUACAGACCAAGUAUAAUACAUUCAAAUCUGUCUCAUGCUUACAAAACAGAAUAUAUGUUUUUAAAUCCGGCAAGGAAGACAUUUUUGGUGUGCUUGUUUUCGAUUCAAAUGCAAAUUCUGACUCAGAGAUAUUUGGUAGAUCUACUGCUGCAUGAAUUUGAGAAAAUCACAUGAAAAAGAUGGUGAUCCCAGAAUGCAUGCCAGUAAAAUGAAACAAGAAGUCUCAGCUUAGGGUAGGAAAAAACUCUACACAUGCCAUGAAUGUGUCAGUUUCCGAGCCAGCUACCACAAAGGACGGUCAAACACAAAGGCCAACAAAGUGCUACCAUGUAAUGUGAAGCUUAAAAGCUAACAUCUGACUGUCACUCACAAGAGGGAUGUUGCUUCCACUUAGCCUGACUGGUGUCAAACUGCAGGCAGUAAACUUUCUAUUAGGCUUCAACAUCAAAUAUGACAAAGACAUUAUGAUCACAUGUGAUGGGCAAACCAACUUUAGCAGAGGUCAACAGCUGCUUAAAGGGAUACUUCAAGGAGUUAAUAUUCCACUUAUGUUAAAUAGGGGAAGCUGCAAGACACAUUCAAAUAAGACUGAGAGUCUGCAGCCAUGCUACCAUCAGGCACAUGGUGCACACCAGCAUGCUAAUCAUGUUGAUAUCUGAGCUUUACUUUGUUUGGUAGCUUUUCUGAUCCAGAGAAAUGAACUAGCAUGCACACAACUAAGACUCGGAAACUGUCCAAAUGAAUGUGAGUCAGCCCUUGUUAACCUUUUUUACAUUUAAAAAAAGAAAAUAAAUCUGCACUGAAAUUUAUAAGGAUACAAACAAUGUCUGAGUUACAAAGUUCUGCUGUUCCACAGUAUUUGGCUAAAUAAACCUUUAAAUACAACGUCCUUAUUCCCUGAAAUAAAGUUCAGAAGAAGAAGCUGAAACUGAUUUGAUUUGCUGGUAAGGGAGUUAAGUCCAUUUUAAGGGACCGAGAAAAUAGUGCCUAUGGUCAAUAUGAUUGCUUCUUCAUUAAAAAAAUCUGUAUGCAUCAUAAAUUAGACAAAAAUGUUACACUAUAAAUCCACCUAUCAUCAUAACACUUAUCACAAAUGGGGCCACAGGGGUAUGAAGCCAAUCACAGCUGUUAUAUUAUAUUUGAAAAUACAUUUUAAUCAAUAAUCCUCAAUGACAAAAGGCAAACCGCCAAUAUACAUUUUUCACAGGUGUAUAUUGCAGUGACUUCUGUUACUUUGAAAGCUAUGGCAGGAUGGUUCCUGGGAGAAUGGUCUGCAGUGAGAAUCACUUCUGCACAGAAAUCCAACAGUUGUCUAAAAGUAAAGAAAAGUCACAGUUUGUUCUAUAGCUGUCAGUAGAAGAAACCUUAUUUUAUUACCUUCCAGUUUGGUAGAAGCAGAGUGGGAAUGAAUUGGACUGAAGGUACACAGUAACAGCUGUGCACUGGCACCAGAGCAUCCCCCCAGCUUGAGAAUUUAAUUAUACUCCUUAUUGAAAAUGAUGUGAUAUGGUGUCAUUUAUCAUGUUUUGAAGCUGCUUGUCAUCCUCCUCAUCUUUAUUUUCAGCACUCUAAAACAUACCUGCCCUCAGCUCCGGGCAUCUGUUGGCAUGGCAGCACGCACGCACGCACGCACGCACGCACGCACGCACGCACGCACAACCUUGCUUUUGCACUGGCACUGGAGCAAAUGUUUGCUUCAGCAGGGCUCAUUAAGUUGAGAUGCAUGAAUAUUGUUAGAUGCAAAUCCCAGCAGAAGUUGAUUCUUUGAAGAAAAA